rnacentral:rRNA from 1 species
UCUCUCUGAAUCUGCGAACGGCUCCGCAAACCAGUUGUAAACUAUAGCAAGCAAGCCUGGGCUCAGCCUUCACGGGCAGGGACCGGGCGAUAUGGAUAACCCUGGUAAUUCUGAGGCUAAUACAAGAGCGUAACCCCUGGCUGACCGGCUUCGGCUGGGAGGCUGGGGGACGUGCGAUUGCGGCUUGGGUAUACCGGGAAAGGGCGCACGUUCAGACCGCGCUAAAAAGGAUCGGGACCCCCUCGGGGGACCUGGCCCCAGCGGCUCUUGCUGUGUGCUUCUGACCUAUCAACUAGACGGCAGCGUAAGGGACAUGCUAUGGUGACAACGGGUACAGAGGAUUAGGGUUCGAUCCUGGAGAGUGGGCCUGAGAGAUU